UUGCUAGGGGUGGUUGACCCCGUUGCUAGGGGUGGUUGACCCCGUUACUAGGGGUGGUUGACCCCGUUACUAGGGGUGGUUGACUCUGUUGCUAGGGGUGGUUGACCCCGUUGCUAGGGGUGGUUGAGCCCAUUACUAGGGGUGGUUGACUCUGUUGCUAGGGGUGGUUGACCCCGUUGCUAGGGGUGGUUGACCCCGUUACUAGAGGUGGUUGUAUUUGUUGCUAGGGGUGUUUGACCCUGUUGCUAGGUGUGGUUGACCCCGUUGCUAGGGAUGGUUGACCCUGUUGCUAGGGGUGGUUGACCCCGUUGCUAGGGGUGGUUGACCCUGUUGCUAGGGGUGGUGCUGUCUUCUAAGAGCUGUGAUUGGUUGUUAAAGAAACAACAAACCAGUGUGCUCCCAGUAAUCAGUGGGGAGAAAUGAACUGAUGAUAGAAUUUAACUGGAUUCAGAAAUAUUUAAAUCCUGAUGAUAAAACUUAACAAAUUAAUUAAUUGUCCCACAGCAUCAACAUGUUUGAAUGUAGCUUAUUUACACGCUCUUUAUUAUUCUGAUUAGAUUAUUAUUAUAUUUAUUCUCCAUGCUGGUCAUUUUCAUGCUGCAUCUAUUUCAUAUUAAUUCAUAUUAAUAUUAAACUCAGCAUUUUACUGUGAUCUCCUUCUUGUUGAAUGAGGUUUAAAACGACCAGAACAAACCAGAGAAAAAAGGUGGAGUAAAGCGAAGUGAACAGAGGAGCAGAGCCUGCUGGUGGAGGAGAAGAGAGGAGUGUUAAAGCACCAGCCUGGAAUGUGAGCAGCUCUGGUUCCUGCUGCAUUCAGAAGCUAGAGAGGAGAUAGCAGCACCAGAGAACGUCUCCACAGAUGUUGAAGAUGAUCAUUUAGGCUGCUGACAUCAUCAUGAACAAUACAGCAGAUUCACCUCAUUUACAUCUUCCUGCUCUGGAUAUAGAGCUCAGAUUAUUGGACUGUUGGAGACACUUUCUAUUUAUGUAUUUAUCUAUAUUUUCUUUGAAGCAUUUUACAGUCUGUAAAUAUUAAAAUAAUUCUAUACGA